rnacentral:lncRNA from 1 species
CUAACUGGUCUAAUAACCAAAACACACGUGCCCUCGGCACAAUCUGAUGCCAAAAUUGUAAUCUGGGUCCACCGUCAACCCCAACGGCAUCUGACAAUCCGGAACAACCUAAACACUGCUGUAAAAAUACACUCGGCACCUCAGCACGAGCGUAAAUAUAUUCUACACUAUUCUAGGUAUCCACCGCCCACAAACUGCGGCGAUACAAAUAAACUACGGCUUCUACAGCUAAAUCUGGUAGUUUUAACAUAUGAUAGUGUAGAAACGCCAGUUUUAUUCUAAGUCAAAACCAAGUCCAAUAUGUAUAAUUUAGUUAGUAUUUUAAGCUCUAAUUCAAGAUCAAUAACAUGCAAAUCUAAGAAUCGAGCUAAACAAUAUGCUAAACGAAGCUAAGAACACAUACUGUCAAUAUAUAGAAUCAGGAGGAAAAUCCACGAAAUCCGGUAAGCAUCACUUUGACCCACCUCGAAAGCUAAUCCAAAUCUGGCAAGAAGUCGAUAGAAGCGGAACCACACGCUCGCUCGGCCUCCCAACGGCGCUACCACGACGAACGCACCUCGGACGGCACCGCGGUGCAACGUCGACGUCGCUCCGGCUCCACCCGAGUCCUCCUCCUUACGUACGGCUUUA